rnacentral:rRNA from 1 species
UGAGGAAUAUUGGCCAAUGGGCGCAAGCCUGAACCAGCCAUCCCGCGUGCAGGAAGACGGCGCUAUACGUUGUAAACUGCUUUUCCAGGGAGAGAAACUUGCGCACGUGUUGCGCAAUUGACGGUACCCUGGGAAUAAGCAUCGGCUAACUCCGUGCCAGCAGCCGCGGUAAUACGGAGGAUGCGAGCGUUAUCCGGAUUCAUUGGGUUUAAAGGGUGCGUAGGCGGACUAUUAAGUCAGUGGUGAAAUCCUGCAGCUUAACUGCAGAACUGCCAUUGAUACUGAUAGCCUUGAGUUUGGUUAAGGGAGGCGGAAUGUGUAAUGUAGCGGUGAAAUGCUUAGAUAUUACACAGAACACCAAUUGCGUAGGCAGCUUACUGAGCCGACACUGACGCUGAGGCACGAAAGCGUGGGGAUCGAACAG